rnacentral:rRNA from 1 species
AACGAACGCUGGCGGCAGGCUUAACACAUGCAAGUCGAGCGCCCCGCAAGGGGAGCGGCAGACGGGUGAGUAACGCGUGGGAAUCUACCCAUCCCUACGGGAUAAUGCGUGGAAACGUAUGCUAAUACCGUAUACGUCCUUCGGGAGAAAGAUUUAUCGGAGAUGGAUGAGCCCGCGUUGGAUUAGCUAGUUGGUGGGGUAAAGGCCUACCAAGGCGACGAUCCAUAGCUGGGUUGAGAGGAUGAGCAGCCACACUGGGACUGAGACACGGCCCAGACUCCUGCGGGAGGCAGCAGUGGGGAAUAUUGGACAAUGGGCGCACGCCUGAUCCAGCCGUGCCGCGUGAGUGAUGAAGGCCCUAGGGUUGUAAAGCUCUUUCACCGGUGAAGAUAAUGACGGUAACCGGAGAAGAAGCCCCGGCUAACUUCGUGCCAGCAGCCGCCGUAACAC